rnacentral:rRNA from 1 species
UAGGGAAUCUUCCGCAAUGGACGCAAGUCUGACGGAGCAACGCCGCGUGAGUGAAGAAGGAUUUCGGUUCGUAAAACUCUGUUGUUAGAGAAGAACAGCGCAUAGAGUAACUGUUAUGCGUGUGACGGUAUCUAACCAGAAAGCCACGGCUAACUACGUGUCAGCAGCCGCGGUAAUACGUAGGUGGCAAGCGUUGUCCGGAUUUAUUGGGCGUAAAGCGAGCGCAGGCGGUCAAUUAAGUCUGAUGUGAAAGCCCCCGGCUCAACCGGGGAGGGUCAUUGGAAACUGGUUGACUUGAGUGCAGAAGAGGAGAGUGGGAUUCCAUGUGUAGCGGUGAAAUGCGUAGAUAUAUGGAGGAACACCAGUGGCGAAGGCGACUCUCUGGUCUGUAACUGACGCUGAGGCUCGAAAGCGUGGGUAGCAAACAGG